AGCGUGGAGACAGGUGGUGCAUGGCUGUCGUCAGCUCGUGUCGUGAGAUGUUGGGUUAAGUCCCGCAACGAGCGCAACCCUCACCCCUUGUUGCCAUCAGGUGAUGCUGGGCACUCUAGGGGAACUGCCCCGGUCAACGGGGAGGAAGGCGGGGACGACGUCAAGUCAUCAUGCCCCUUACGUCCUGGGCUACACACGUGCUACAAUGGCCGGUACAGAGGGAUGCAAGACCGCGAGGUGGAGCUAAACCCAAAAAGCCGGUCUAAGUUCAGAUUGGAGUCUGCAACUCGACUCCAUGAAGGAGGAAUCGCUAGUAAUCGCGUAUCAGCACGACGCGGUGAAUACGUUCCCGGGCCUUGUACACACCGCCCGUCACACCACGAAAGCCAGCUGUACUCGAAGUCGCUGAG
rnacentral:rRNA from 1 species